ensembl:lncRNA
GAAACCCCCCUCCUAGCCCUCUCCAUUUUGUGCCUUCUGAGAACAACAGGAGCUGCGGUUUCGCUGGGAGCCACACGAGGGAUAUUAUUUAGUAGGCGAGUGCGCAUUAAAAUAGUCCGCUUAUAAAACGGUUUUCCGACGCUUUCAAUUGGCUUCCCUCCAUUAUAAGAUCCGCUCAGCCAGAGAGCGACCAAGAUACCAAGGUAGACCAAGAUACAGACUUGAACCGUCUGUUCCAUGGGUUUGUAGCAGUAGCCUACUGCUAAGAUUCAAUGCAAUUAAUAACGAAAAUAUGUUAUCAGGUUUAAGGCUUUCCAAAAGUAAAUCGUGCUAGUUUAACUAUUAAAGAACUGUUUUGGCUUUGUAGCUAUGGGCAAAUAUAAACUAUUUUUUAUCAUCGUGUUGAUGAAUAAAACAAUUCUGUUUUGGCUUCAAAACGUAUCUAUUUAUAAUAUUUCUUUCGUCUUUCUUUUGAGUAAAUUCGUUUCUGUUGGUGCAUACGUCAUUAUUGGUAAAAUAACUCGUUUUUUUCGAUACAUUUGUUUGUUCUAUAUGAUCACACAUUUAUUUAAGACAUGAAAGCUUAAAGUUGAUGAUUAUCUUCAGUAAUUUAAAAACAAAUCAAUAGGCUUUUGUUUAGUCCUCCAGGAGCAGCUGUCCUUUCCAUCUACAAUGUAUUUAUUUUAGAACUAGCCCCUACUCAAUUGAACAGUACCUGCAAUUUACCACAGUCUUUAUGUAAAGUAUUGUGUACGUCAGUAAUAAAAGUAGUUUACAACAUGAAACAAAAGUUUGCUUUAAAAAUGUCACACAAUCACCAGUAGAGAAUAUACUAACUAAAUUUGCAUUCUAGCUAACUAAAGGUGCUUUUAGGCAAGUUUAGGAACGUGGAAUAAUUGGAAUCCUUAACAAUUAAUAUCAGAAAUUAGAAGAAGCAUAAACAAUUAACAAUGACUCUUGUUUUCAAUUGAUCAAUGUCCAUUUGAUUCAAGACAACGUUGAGCUCUAAAACGUUUGCCAUCUGUCAUAAAGUCAAAUUAAACAGUAUGUUAGUCUUAGAUGCCAUGUGCAAAAUGAUCCAAUAACUAUAUGUUGAUGUUUCUAAAAUCCUUAUAAAAAAUUGUUUGUUAAUUUUUGUUGGAUUAAGUUAAUCUCUUCUUCCACUCUAGGCUGGUUUAAGAUAUGAUAAUGAUUUAUCAUUAAAGGCUAUUUUUGGCCUGGUUGUGAACUGAAACGUGUCAUUUAUUAUAAAAUUGCACCACAUGGGGAAGGAGUUUCAGAAAUCUAUACAUCUGAAUGACAACAAGAAAUGUAUGCAUCAAGGAUAUGUAUGACCAAGAUACACCUGAUAAUAGAACGGAAGAAAGACACUAAAGAGUUUGAUGAAUAAAAUGAAAAAAACGAUUCUGAAUAUGGAGAUUUGGCUGUACAAUGAGUUAUGGUUGUUGGCUGUUCCACAAUGUAUACAUUGGUCGAUAUGUAAAACGAAAAGUUUCCCCAAACCAAAAAGGCGAUGUGUUGAGUACCUUACAUUAAUCGGGCUAAAUAUAUUCCUGAACUAUAAGUAGGUAUUGUGUAUUCAUACUUUAUAACAAGAGAAAAGUAAUAACUUUUGAGGUUGUUAUGUUCUUCCUAAAUAUCAGAAAUAUUUUUUUAUAUGUUGUGUUAUUCAUCUAACGUAACAUGCCCCUAUUUUUCAUUUCUAUUAUAGUUUGCUAAAUCAUUAAAAUAAGGUUUUCGAUCUAUCUAAUAAUGUAAAAGGGCCAUAUUGAUUGUGAAAGCAUACUUUUUUCAGUAGCAAAAGGCCUUCUAGUUUGAUCUAAUAUCUCUGCUACUUGUAAGAAACUGAACUUAUCUGUUUUUGUUUUAAUUGAAUGAUGGUGGUUAGAUAUAUGUUCCUUUGUUUUUUGGUUGGAAAUUUACUUUAACUGAAAAUGUAAAGAAACAAAAGAGAAAAACUCAGUUUGUAAUAUAUUGCUGUGUUGAUAGUACAGAACAGAAACAGAAACCUGCCUUCUAACCAAGAUAGUUAUCAAAAGUGUAACAUCAAAUUUCAAUACCAAUCAAUUAUUCAUUUAUUUGGACUCUGCUGUUCAUAUUCAUUAAUCUUGUCAACAAGAAAUCAACAAGUGUAAUAGAUUAAACUUUGAAAGUACAAUAAACAAAGCAAUCAAAUUAAUGUAUGUUGUCAUGUUAGUCUGUUUUGGGAAUAAUUGUCUCAAGAAUGAAAGUGCACAAGAGGAGAGGAGUAAGGGUAAUAGAUUACCUUUUGAAUUUAAUUUCUUCAAGGCCUUACAUUCUGAGAACCUAAAGGUCAUCAUGCAUGUUCUUUAAACCUCACAGCUUUCAAACUAAAGAACUAUGUGAAAGUUUUGAAUCUGCUUUUACACCCAGGUUGAAGUGAUUUUUUUGACUCAAACAAAUCCUACUCAACCUGUUAUAGAUAUAGUUAAGGUUUGUUGUAAUAACACAGUUGCAAGCAAUACUUUACUUUUAUUAGU